GACGAACGCUGGCGGCGUGCUUAACACAUGCAAGUCGAACGCUGAAGCACCAGCUUGCUGGUGUGGAUGAGUGGCGAACGGGUGAGUAAUACGUGAGUAACCUGCCCUUGACUCUGGGAUAAGCCCGGGAAACUGGGUCUAAUACUGGAUGCUACAUGUCACCGCAUGGUGGUGUGUGGAAAGGGUUUACUGGUCUUGGAUGGGCUCACGGCCUAUCAGCUUGUUGGUGAGGUAAUGGCUCACCAAGGCGACGACGGGUAGCCGGCCUGAGAGGGUGACCGGCCACACUGGGACUGAGACACGGCCCAGACUCCUACGGGAGGCAGCAGUGGGGAAUAUUGCACAAUGGGCGAAAGCCUGAUGCAGCGACGCCGCGGGAGGGAUGACGGCCUUCGGGUUGUAAACCUCUUUCAGCAGGGAAGAAGCCACAAGUGACAGUACCUGCAGAAGAAGCGCCGGCUAACUACGUG
rnacentral:rRNA from 1 species